rnacentral:tRNA from 1 species
CAAAGUGUAGCUUAAAUAAAGCACCUAGUUUACACCUAGAAGAUUUCAUAUAAACUGACCACUUUGA